UAACCUACGGGAGGCAGCAGUCGGGAAUAUUGCACAAUGGAGGAAACUCUGAUGCAGUGACACCGCGUAUAGGAAGAAGGUUUUCGGUAUGUAAAGCUCUAUCAGCAGGGAAGAAAGUGACAGUACCUGACUAAGAAGCCCCGGCUAACUACGUGCCAGCAGCCGCGGUAAUACGUAGGGGGCAAGCGUUAUCCGGAUUCACUGGGCGUAAAGGGAGCGCAGGCGGCACGGCAAGUCUGGUGUGAAAACCCGGGGCUCAACCCCGGGACUGCAUUGGAAACUGCCGGGCUGGAGUGUCGGAGGGG
rnacentral:rRNA from 1 species